GUUGUAUAGUCAAGUAAUUAAGUGCAUGUGGUGGAUGCCUUGGCAGUCAGAGGCGAUGAAAGACGUGAUAGCCUGCGAAAAGCUCCGGGGAGGCGGCAAAUAUCCUUUGAUCCGGAGAUGUCUGAAUGGGGGAACCCACCUACUUUAAGGUAGGUAUUGCAACAUGAAUACAUAGUGUUGCAAGGCGAACGAGGGGAAGUGAAACAUCUCAGUACCCUUAGGAAAAGAAAUCAAUUGAGAUUCCCUCAGUAGCGGCGAGCGAACGGGGAUCAGCCCAUUAAGUUAUGUGUGUUUUAGUGGAACGCUCUGGGAAGUGCGAACGUAGAGGGUGAUAUUCCCGUACACGAAAGGGCACACAUAAUGAUGACGAGUAGGGCGAGGCACGUGAAACCUUGUCUGAAUAUGGGGGGACCAUCCUCCAAGGCUAAAUACUCCUGACUGACCGAUAGUGAACCAGUACCGUGAGGGAAAGGCGAAAAGAACCCCUGUGAGGGGAGUGAAAUAGAUCCUGAAACCGCAUGCAUACAAGCAGUGGGAGCACCUUCGUGGUGUGACUGCGUACCUUUUGUAUAAUGGGUCAGCGACUUAUAUUCAGUAGCGAGGUUAACCGUAUAGGGGAGCCGUAGAGAAAUCGAGUCUUAAUAGGGCGUUUAGUUGCUGGGUAUAGACCCGAAACCAGGCGAUCUAUCCAUGAGCAGGUUGAAGGUUGGGUAACACUAACUGGAGGACCGAACCCACUGUCGUUGAAAAGCCAGGGGAUGACUUGUGGAUAGGGG
rnacentral:rRNA from 1 species